rnacentral:ncRNA from 19 species
GACGCGGCGCACAUUUACGGUUCCACAGCCGCAGUGGACGGGAAGCCGGUGGGAAUCCGGCGCGGUCCUCGCCACUGUGACCGGGGAGCCAACCCGCCGAGAACGUCACUGGUCGCGCGGUGCGACUGGGAAGACGCGGGGACGGUGUCGAUCCGGGAGUCAGGAGACCGGCUGCGGCGCGAGUUGUUGUU